CAGACUGCUGCUAGACAGACUGCUCCUAGACAGACUGCUGCUAGACAGACUGCUCCUAGACAGAUUGCUCCUAGACAGACUGCUGCUAGACAGACUGCUGCUAGAUGUCUAGACAAACUUCUCCUAGACAGACUGCUGCUAGACAUACUGCUCCUCGACAGACUGCUUCUAGAUGUCUAGACAGACUUCUGCUAGACUGCUGCUAGACAUAAUGCUCCUAGACAGACUGCUCCUAGACAGACUGCUCCUAGACAGACUGCUGCUAGACACAUCUGAGGAGAGCUGCUCCUUAGUUAUUGCCUGGUGGCAGCAGCACCAGGUGAGGUGGAUAGACACCGCAGCUUAAUACACACUCAGGCACACACACACACACACACACACACACACAUACACACACACACACACGCACGCGCGCACACACAUCACGCAGACGUCAGGUGAUCAUUUAUUUUCUGUUUCACUAAGGUCUGUGACACUUCCCAGUGAGGGCCAGGUCGGGAGGCCUGCUAUCCCGGCCCACCACGAACUCAUCCUGUCUCUGCUGGCUAAGAUUGACCAGGGGGUCAUCACUCAGACAUGCCCUGACCCAGAGGGACUGCUGACUGGACACUCCCCCACCAGCCGGCCAAGGGCCAGGACAGGGACCAGGACGGGGAGGGGGACAGAGCUUCACCCCAACCCCAGACAGAGACACGUCUCCUCCCCAGGACAGCUCACCCUGCAGUCAGUAGACAGGAAUACCCAUCAGUUUCAUCAGCUGCCUGGGUGGCUGGUCUCAGAUGAUCCUGCAGGUGAAGAAGUCGGAGGUAGAGGUCCUGGGCUGGCGUGGUUACUCACGGACUGCAUUUGUGAGGCCGGUUGGAUGUGCAGCCAAAUCCUCUGAAAACGUUGGAGGCGGCUAUGGUAGAGAAAUUAACAUUCAAUUCUCUGACAACUCUGGUGGACAUUCCUGCAGUCAACAUGCCAAUUGCACACUCUUUCAAAACUUGAGACAUCUGUGGCAUUGUGUUGUGUGGCAUUGUGUUGUGUAACAAAACUGCACAUUUUAGAGUGGCCCUUUAUUGUCCCCAGCACAAGGUGCACCUGUGUAAUGAUCAUGAUGUUUAAUCAGCUUCUUGAUAUGCCACACCCCUCAGGUGGAUGGAUUAUCUUGGCAAAGGGGAAAUGCUCACUAACAGGGAUGUAAAUAAAAAUGUGUGCACAACAUUUGAGAGAAAUAAGCUUUUUGUGGGUAUGGAACAUUUCUGGGAACUUUUAUUUCAGCUCAUGAAACCUGGGACCAACACUUUACAUGUUGCGUUCAUAUAUUUAUAGAAAAUGAAUACAAUUCUGCCUACUAGUUGCUCCUGACUGGAGAAUCGGCAUCCUCAGGCAGUGCUGUAGGCUUCAAACACCGAACUAACUGUCUGUAUGUCUGUCUGUCUGUCUGUCUGUCUGCCUGUCUGCCUGCCUGCACAAUGCUACUCCCUGUAGGGAACCAUAAGGUUCCAGAUAUUAUAUUAGACUGGGAAGGCUUUUGAGUCUCUGUCAUUAAUUUUCAGCACACA
ensembl:lncRNA